rnacentral:rRNA from 1 species
AUUGAACGCUGGCGGCAUGCUUUACACAUGCAAGUCGAACGGUAACAGGCCGCAAGGUGCUGACGAGUGGCGAACGGGUGAGUAAUGCAUCGGAACGUGCCCAGCCGUGGGGGAUAACGCAGCGAAAGCUGUGCUAAUACCGCAUACGAUCUAUGGAUGAAAGCGGGGGACCGUAAGGCCUCGCGCGAUUGGAGCGGCCGAUGGCAGAUUAGGGAGUUGGUGGGGUAAAGGCCUACCAAGCCGACGAUCUGUAGCUGGUCUGAGAGGACGACCAGCCACACUGGGACUGAGACACGGCCCAGACUCCUACGGGAGGCAGCAGUGGGGAAUUUUGGACAAUGGGCGCAAGCCUGAUCCAGCAAUGCCGCGUGCAGGAAGAAGGCCUUCGGGUUGUAAACUGCUUUUGUACGGAACGAAACGGUCCGGGUUAAUACCCUGGGCUAAUGACGGUACCGUAAGAAUAAGCACCGGCUAACUACGUGCCAGCCGCCGCCGUAAGAC